rnacentral:lncRNA from 11 species
GCUACAUAGUUUUACAUGCUGCUCAGGAGCUUAGGAAGUCCAUGCACUACGCAAGGUGAGUCCAUGAGGAAGACACAAUGCCAGACAGAAAAAUUAAUUCUAUCAACAGAAGCUUCAAUCUCCCUGAGAGAAUCCUGAGAUGAGCUGCUGCCAGACACCAACAUCUGCAUGUUUUUCAUUGAACUGAUCAUAUUUAUAUAACAGCCUUACUGUGUUUCUGAGGCACACCCUUUGUGCAAACUGGACUUGGUCAAUAAUCUCAUCAUACACUGUUUCACAUAUUGCCUCAACAUAUAUUGUUUAUCCGCCCCUUUUCCGGAGAGAUAUUUCCAAACAACUCUGGCUCCAAACUCUCCAAUAACAGCUGUUUAUUUUUCUCGCCACAAGGGAGACUCCAUCCACUCCUGACAUCAAGAGAAUUCCCCAGCUGAUGGGAGCCCAGAUUGAAACCGGACCAAUUUCUGACCAAUCAGGGGAGGGUAGAGAGACUUUGAAUGGCUCUCAAAGAGGAUAAAAUGUCUUUUACUGUAUUGCAUGGUUAUGUCCGAUCCUUUUUAGAGUAGACUCUGUAUCAGACAUCUUUUCAGGCCUAGAAG